rnacentral:rRNA from 1 species
UGGGGAAUAUUGGACAAUGGGCGGAAGCCUGAUCCAGCCAUGCCGCGUGUGUGAAGAAGGCCUUUUGGUUGUAAAGCACUUUAAGCGAGGAGGAGGCUACUUGGAUUAAUACUCUAGGAUAGUGGACGUUACUCGCAGAAUAAGCACCGGCUAACUCUGUGCCAGCAGCCGCGGUAAUACAGAGGGUGCGAGCGUUAAUCGGAUUUACUGGGCGUAAAGCGUGCGUAGGCGGCUUCUUAAGUCGGAUGUGAAAUCCCUGAGCUUAACUUAGGAAUUGCAUUCGAUACAGUGACGCUAGAGUAUGGGAGAGGAUGGUAGAAUUCCAGGUGUAGCGGUGAAAUGCGUAGAGAUCUGGAGGAAUACCGAUGGCGAAGGCAGCCAUCUGGCCUAAUACUGACGCUGAGGUACGAAAGCAUGGGGAGCAAACAGG